AUGUCCAUUGCAAUCCCUGCUGGCCGGCCUGUGGCCCGCCAGGUUUCGUGGGGACCAGACCUCCAUGAAGCCUCCCCUGGAGGAGCGAGCACAGCUUCGGGGGGCUCCUGCCUCAGGCACUUCCAGACACUG